rnacentral:rRNA from 1 species
AGAGUUUGAUCCUGGCUCAGAAUCAACGCUGGCGGCGUGCCUAACACAUGCAAGUCGCACGAGAAAGUGGAGCAAUCCAUGAGUACAGUGGCGCACGGGUGAGUAACACGUGACUAACCUACCCUCGAGUGGGGAAUAACUUCGGGAAACCGAGGCUAAUACCGCAUAACACUUACGAGUCAAAGCAGCAAUGCGCUUGGGGAGGGGGUCGCGGCAGAUUAGCUAGUUGGUGAGGUAAUGGCUCACCAAGGCGAUGAUCUGUAUCCGGCCUGAGAGGGCGCACGGACACACUGGAACUGAAACACGGUCCAGACUCCUACGGGAGGCAGCAGUGGGGAAUUUUGCGCAAUGGGGGAAACCCUGACGCAGCAACGCCGCGUGGAGGAUGAAAUCCCUUGGGAUGUAAACUCCUUUCGAUCGGGACGAUUAUGACGGUACCGGAAGAAGAAGCCCCGGCUAACUUCGUGCCAGCAGCCGCGGUAAUACGAGGGGGGCGAGCGUUGUUCGGAAUUAUUGGGCGUAAAGGGUGCGUAGGCGGUUUGAUAAGUCUGAUGUGAAAUCUAUGGGCUCAACCCAUAGCCUGCAUUAGAAACUGUCGGGCUUGAGUAUGGGAGAGGUGAGUGGAAUUUCCGGUGUAGCGGUGAAAUGCGUAGAUAUCGGAAGGAACACCUGUGGCGAAAGCGGCUCACUGGACCAUUACUGACGCUGAUGCACGAAAGCUAGGGGAGCAAACAGGAUUAGAUACCCUGGUAGUCCUAGCCCUAAACGAUGAUUGCUUGAUGUGGAGGGUACCCAAUCCUUCCGUGUCGUAGCUAACGCGAUAAGCAAUCCGCCUGGGGAGUACGGUCGCAAGGCUGAACUCAAAGGAAUUGACGGGGGCCCGCACAAGCGGUGGAGCAUGUGGUUUAAUUCGACGCAACGCGAAGAACCUUACCUGGCUCGAAAUGUAGUGGAAUCCGGUAGAAAAUAUCGGCGCCUAGCAAUAGGCCGCUAUUAUAGGUGCUGCAUGGCUG